rnacentral:lncRNA from 10 species
AAGGGUGUUAUAGGAAUCAGAAUAGAAAACGAAGUGAUAGAGUGUCUUCCUCAUUUUUAUGCUGCCAUGACAGAAUACCACAUACUUGAUAAUUUAAAAUGAACAGAAAUUUAUCGGCUCACAGUUCUGAAAUGUGAGAAGUUCAAGAUCGAGGGGUUGGUAUCUUGCAAGAACUUUCUUGCUGUGGUAUCCAUGGGGGAAGAUGGAAGGGCAAGAAUGAACAAGAGGGGGCUUGCUCUUUUAUAAUGGCACCAACCUUGUCUAUGAAGAGGGAGCCCUCAUGGCCUAAUCACCUUUUUUAAGGGUCCCACCUCUUAGCACUGUUACAAUGGCAAUUACAUUUUAACAUGAGUUUUGGAGGGGAUAAACAUUCAAAACAUAGCACUGGGAUACAGAACAGGACAACAAAUGCCUGAGAGUUGAAACAAAAAAUAAGGGAGGAAGAAAAGGAAGGUGGGAAGACACACCGAAUGCACUAGAUUUUAGUUUAUGUCCUGCUUCCCUUUGGAUAAAGUGUCUUUAAAACUAACUUAUUGUGUGGCCAUCUUGCCCCCAGGUUGGGGAUGGGAAGUGGGAUGACACUGGUGCAGUGUGACAGCUGAUGGCACUUCCCUUACAAUAAAUCAUAGCAGGGGGUUGAGCCUGUCAUCUGGUAGAGCCCUCUGCUUCCACCAGAGCAAUGGCCACAUGAUUGACCCCAGAUGGUGGCAGCUCCUAGGCCCAAAGUCCCCCUCUCUAGGUGGCCUGCUUUCAUAUCUCAUCAACCUUGCAGCCAAGAUAAUUUUCUUGGAUAAACAUCAAGAUGUUGGCCUUGGCUAUUCUUGAGUUGAGGGAUGAUGUGUAAUUUCUUCUCUUUUGCUUAUUUGAAUUCUUUCCUUCCUAUUUAAAUAAAAUGAUGGUGAGUCACUUUCAAAAUAAAGAAAAUUGAAUUAAAGAAGUUAUUUUUAAAGCCAAUCUUUUCUCAUGCCACUAUAUAAGCUUACUUUCUCUUAUUUGGUCUUCUCUAUGACAAUAAAGCCAUACGAUCACUCCACACUGCAGCAAGCACUUCAGAGACGGCCACAAGUCAUGAAAUUAGGUCUGUUUUAUAAAU